rnacentral:rRNA from 1 species
CAGUAGCCGCGGGAACACGUAGGGUGCGAGCGUUAAUCGGAAUUACUGGGCGUAAAGCGUGCGCAGGCGGUUCGUUAAGACAGAUGUGAAAUCCCCGGGCUUAACCUGGGAACUGCAUUUGUGACUGGCGAGCUAGAGUAUGGCAGAGGGGGGUAGAAUUCCACGUGUAGCAGUGAAAUGCGUAGAGAUGUGGAGGAAUACCGAUGGCGAAGGCAGCCCCCUGGGCCAAUACUGACGCUCAUGCACGAAAGCGUGGGGAGCAAACAGGAUUAGAUACCCGCGUAGUCCCUGUCUCUUAUAC